rnacentral:rRNA from 1 species
AGUGAACGCUUGCUUUCUGCCUAACACAUGCAAGUCGAACGGCAGCACAGUAAGAGCUUGCUCUUACGGGUGGCGAGUGGCGGACGGGUGAGGAAUACAUCGGAAUCUACUUUUUCGUGGGGGAUAACGUAGGGAAACUUACGCUAAUACCGCAUACGACCUACGGGUGAAAGCAGGGGAUCUUCGGACCUUGCGCGAUUGAAUGAGCCGACGUCGGAUUAGCUAGUUGGCGGGGUAAAGGCCCACCAAGGCGACGAUCCGUAGCUGGUCUGAGAGGAUGAUCAGCCACACUGGAACUGAGACACGGUCCAGACUCCUACGGGAGGCAGCAGUGGGGAAUAUUGGACAAUGGGCGCAAGCCUGAUCCAGCCAUACCGCGUGGGUGAAGAAGGCCUUCGGGUUGUAAAGCCCUUUUGUUGGGAAAGAAAAGCAGCAGGUUAAUACCCCGCUGUUCUGACGGUACCCAAAGAAUAAGCACCGGCUAACUUCGUG